GCUUAACUCAGAUGCUAUGAACCCCGAGGCGCGAUGUCGUGUGGGUCGCCUAUGCUUCGAGGGGAGCAAAUCGCGAAACCGGCUGAGCGAGAC
rfam:Nitrospirae bacterium 13_1_40CM_62_7 13_1_40cm_scaffold_2419, whole genome shotgun sequence.